rnacentral:lncRNA from 10 species
AGCGGGGUAGAGGGGCUGGAGACAGCAGUCAUGUGGAUGUUUUGGCACAGGGUCUGAAGGAGCCUGAUUGUUGAAGCAAAACUUCCCGUUUACCUACUGAUUGGAGGGUUUUUGAGCAUCUGGAAGCCAGAACAAAAAUGACCAUCCAUCCUCCCGCUGACCUUCCAGAUGACUGCAGGUGCAUGAGCACGCCCAGCAGGGAUCAGCUGAGCAAAAUCACCUCGCCGAAUCAUAGCCAAAAGCUUUCGGUAUAUCAGAGUCCUGCUGCUUCUUUCAUGGCCCCCCAGGAAGAUGAC